AAAAUAUUAAAUAAUACAAAAUUAACGCGUGAUUCAAAAAAAUGAUGUAAAUUUGCUAUGCGACUUGUUUGUAAGACGGAUACUACAGUAUCAAUUACAUGUAACUGCAAAUGUGAGUGGUCAUCCUCUAAAUGACUGUCACAAUAUCUUUGUUCCCGUGCCUGCCUGUCCUUUUCAAGGGCUUCUUUCCGGCCCGCAAUCUCUUCAAUCAUGACGGAGAACUGCGUUCUUAAGUUACUCACAGCUUCCAGGUAUGACGCUUCCUGUCUAUCUCUUCUUGCAACUCGCUGCGGCAUGGCAUGAGCACAGGAAGUCAGACACAUCUUGUGGCCGAUAAUUUUACUAAGAAUUUUCUGGACUUAAGUUGGUUUAGUUUGGCCAGUGUGAUGUGUUUGAUGGUAAGUUUGUAUAAUUAUUUAUGGAAUUGAAUUAUGCUUUUUAAUCGUUUUCAUUUUCUCUCAUUCUGAUAGGGUGAUACCUACAAUUAUGUGUUAACAAUAAAUAGGUAAAAAUUUAGUAUGAGCAAAUAAAAUAUAAAUUGUAUCUGAA